rnacentral:rRNA from 1 species
UACGUGAGGGGCGAGCGUUGUUCGGUGUCACUGGGCUUAAAGGGCGCGUAGGUGGCUGCGUAAGUAAGGUGUGAAAGCCCUCGGCUUACCCGGGGAAUUGCGCCUUAUACUGCGUGGCUUGAGGAUCUCAGGGGAAGGGGGAACUCCGAGUGUAGCGGUGAAAUGCGCAGAUAUUCGGGGAAGGCCGGCGGCGAAGGCGCCCUUCUGGGAGAUUCCUGACACUGAGGCGCGAAAGCGUGGGGAGCAAACAGG